rnacentral:rRNA from 1 species
AAUGAACGUUGGCGGCGUGGAUUAGGCAUGCAAGUCGUGCGGCAGCAGGCCCCGCAAGGGGUGCUGGCGAGCGGCGUAAGGGAGAGGAAUACGUGGGUACCUACCCUCAGGACCGGGAUAGCUGCGGGAAACUGCAAUUAAUACCGGAUGAUGUCUCCGGACCAAAGGUGUAAUUCCUCCGGAGGAGGGGCCCGCGUCCUAUCAGCUAGUUGGAGAGGUAACGGCUCACCAAGGCAACGACGGGUACGGGGU